AGUUUUCCAGGAGAUUUCCCGGUUUCGACUGCCGAAGCAUGGAAACGUCCUGGGAAAAUCU
rnacentral:pre_miRNA from 1 species